CCGAGGGGCUGCUCUCAUGGACACCAUCAGGUGCUGGGAAGCAGGAACCACCAGGACCUGGACAGAGUCCCCAGUGACCGGCCUGGCAGACAGAGGAGCCCUCAGCUACAGCAUCACAAACAACGGGUGGGGAUACCACAUGGAGCAUUUUGAGGAGUGCUGGCCAGGUAUUUUGUAGAAUGUUCCUCAACUGGGAUUUGGCAGAUGCUUCUCAUCCUUAGUCUUGGCUUGUGUGUGUUUUGAGGAGGAGGACCACAGAGCUUAAGAAUCAUUCUCAGCACUCUGUAUCAGGCACGCAUUCUCUCAAGAUGACUUGCCGCUAUUGAAGUUGACUUUGAUCACCUGGCUGAGGAUCGACAUUUGUUCAAGAAGCCUGGUUCCUUUUACUGGAGAAUGGUGUUUAUUGGAGAACAGAGACCUGGGCACCAGAGGAGGAUCAGAGGACUUCUGUCCUGAGAUUGCCAGAAAAAUGAUGAACAGAAAAUUAUACACAACCGAACAGGCCCAACUUUCAAAUGGACUGAGAAUGACCCACACAAGUUCCACCGAGGCCAAGGGUGACCUGCAGCCAGCGACAGGGAAAGACUGCCACUUACUGGCGGCCUCCGGAACUGGAAGGAGUGUACUGACAAUUGUAUCUUUCGCAAGCUCUUAACCUUUAUACCGUCAAUAAAAACCCCAUUAACAUUUAAAAGGGAUGUUUCUGGGUGUCCACUUGGAAUAAGAGUUGGAAAACACUCCAAGAAAUGGAUUCUGUAUUAAUAUCACAUCUGUCCCAGAUCUCCAACACUGUUCACUUUCCUUCCACGGUGCCAACACCAAGCUAGCUGAUAGGUGGGAACAGGGCAGCUCUGCGGUUGGCCCCCAAGAGCCAGGGAGUCCCCCAAGCUGACCCCCUGGGGUGGCAGUGGCACCUAACAAGAACUUCCACCUUGUUUUCCCUCUCUCCGUUUUGUCCUUUUGGACUCUGCUCACGCAUCACAUCCAGAAAGUUCCCUAAGCUCUCCAGUGGGAUGAGAACUCUGCUCUGUGCUCCUG
rnacentral:lncRNA from 1 species